rnacentral:tRNA from 1 species
GGCCUUGUAGUUCAGUGGCAGAACGCAUCUUUGACGUGGAUGAGAUCCAAGGUUCGAUCCCUUGCAGGGCCA